GAUGUGAAGGCAGUCUGCAAGAUCUGUGACUUCACUGAUCACUGGGGAUCAUUCAGCUGAUCUCACUGGCUAGGCAGGUGUUCCCUGCCUCCCACACCACUC
rnacentral:snRNA from 1 species